CCCCACCACUACAUUCUUUCUCCCACUCUCACAACUUUUCUCCCACCAUUAUCACACUCCAUAGAAGCCUUUGAAGCCCCAAGAGAAGUAGCAAAGCAAGGGAGAGUGUGGGAAAACUAUAGAGUGAAGGUUGUGCUUCGAGGGACCGGGCGACAGAAAGUGAAGCCGAAGAAGAAACGACUCCACGCCAGCUUUAAGAACAAUUGAGGUUGAGCAGGCGAUGGAAUGGAUCGGUGUUGAGCGGAUUUCCCUUUUGAUGUUUAUGUAAUGAAACCUUGAGUAUGCAUCUCCAUAUGCAUAACUCACACGUUUUUUUUCGCUGCAAACACUCUGACUUAUUUAUCAUUUCUACUUGAACUUAUUACUACUUCAUUUUAAUUAACUUUCAGUUGGGGUCUAGUCGUUAUGGCAGACUCAUUUGUGAAUUACCCAAGUGGUUAUAUAUAUAUACCACUAGUUUGUUAUUAA